ensembl:lncRNA
AAAUCCUAUUUUAUGGCUAAAGUAACCCAAAUUCAUAGCAAACAAAAUUAUAUAAAAUGUGUUUUGUUGCUGGUUAUAUACUUGCGAUUUUCUCACGAUUUUAAUGGUGACGAUACCAAUGUUUCAACUUGAAAUACUUUAUAGACGCUUUUCACAGCAGUUAUUUGGCCCUCGCAGGGAAACCAGGGCUAUAAUUAAAAUGUUCCAUUUAGGUGGGCGAGGACGCUGGUAUUGUGCCCGCUGACUCACUGGAGUGACACCAAAGAGAAUUGAACUGUGAUUCAUUUGAUCUUUUACACCUGUGUUGAAUGCGAGGAAGUGGAAAUUACUGCUGUAAAAAGGGCCCCGUCCCCGGGUUGUCACGAUUUGGUGUUUGCAAAAGUAAAAGAAAAGAACACUAGUGUUAUUGCGCCAAAUUGCUAAAUUUCAGUAAUGUUGGGCCCAUAUUGUUCGUCAAUGUUUUCCCUCUGUAAUAAUAUUAUCUGAAUUGUUUUAGGGAGACAGGAAAAGGUGAAAUGUAAGAGUGAAAAUGAUGUAUACUUCUAAGGUUUUGCACGUCUGCAGUAAGGUCAAAUAAGUGUCUUGUCAUAAAUGUCAAACCUUACUUUUUGCAGGGAUGGCUGUUCUGUUAAAGCAUAUCAAUGCGUGGACAUGUGCUCGGGUAAACUGGCUCAUGUUUGCAGAUCUCCCACUGAGCCGAGAGCUUCAUACGGAAAAAAUACACGCGGCAUCGCGAAGCCAGCUGAGAAAAAGAUGGGAACGCUCUGAGCUUUGUAGUCAUACAUUCACUUUAUAGUCAUACAUUGGUUCAACAAAUAAAACUAAAUCUAACAGUGUAAUCCAGCAACAAAAGAUGUUUUGCAUGUGUGUGACCACAGUGCUGACACGCAACCAUUAACAUCACUACUGGUCAGCGACUCAUACUAUCUAUACACAUGGACUUCAGCAGCACCUAUCCAAACUACUUACACACACACACACACACACACACACAGUCCUGUUUACAGGCCAGGAUACAGUCGCAUUUAGAAAGUAGUGACUUUCCCUUGAACAUCAGACAGGAUAUAAAUCAAACAGACCUGCUAGUGCCAGAUUUUGGUGUGCAGUGCAUGCUGAUACCCGUAUAGACGGGCUGAAGCUCCUACUUCUCACCUCCCAACCCUGAAUAUCAAGCCAUGCCACUUGCUUGUUGUGUUGUGCUUACGAUGGCAUGCGGAGGAUUGUUGUGUUGUAUGUUUUUGUGCAGUGAGUGCUUUGUCUUGAUUUACAUGGGUUUAAAGGUCAUAGAUGCACGCUGGUACCGUAAACGUCUUCAUUAAAGUCUAUUUUAUUUUGAAAA